AUGUAUUGGAGAAAUGCACUUGGUGGACCUGUUAACCCCGGUUUAGUUUUUAGCCUAAGAAUCACCUUCUAUCAACUUUUACGCUCUACCAAAAAUAUUCAUUGCACAUUAUCUUUUAAUGGCCUUGUGCAACUAGCAAGACUAGCAAGGUUGACACUCUUGUUAGAACUGUUGGGGACACAAGCGAAGUGUUAUUUGUGUAGCAUGACAUUAAAAUGUUGCAAGAUACCCAUAGUACAGACUCCUUGUACCAUUGAAGACCUUGUACGGUUGUCUCUAGAAGAACAAACAAAGAACAUCAUUACACUUAGAGAAUCUGAAACGUUGCAUUCUCGAAUGCCUCUCAGGUCUAGUCCUAGUCCUACUGCCUAUAUCCAAAAAAAUAAGGGUUGCUAA
rnacentral:rRNA from 1 species